UAGGGAAUCUUCCACAAUGGACGAAAGUCUGAUGGAGCAACGCCGCGUGAGUGAUGAAGGGUUUCGGCUCGUAAAACUCUGUUGUUGGAGAAGAACGGGUGUCAGAGUAACUGUUGACAUCGUGACGGUAUCCAACCAGAAAGCCACGGCUAACUACGUGCCAGCAGCCGCGGUAAUACGUAGGUGGCAAGCGUUGUCCGGAUUUAUUGGGCGUAAAGCGAGCGCAGGCGGUUUUUUAGGUCUGAUGUGAAAGCCUUCGGCUUAACCGGAGAAGUGCAUCGGAAACCGGGAGACUUGAGUGCAGAAGAGGACAGUGGAACUCCAUGUGUAGCGGUGAAAUGCGUAGAUAUAUGGAAGAACACCAGUGGCGAAGGCGGCUGUCUGGUCUGCAAACUGACGCUGAGGCUCGAAAGCAUGGGUAGCGAACAGGAUUAGAUACCCUGGUAGUCCAUGCCGUAAACGAUGAGUGCUAAGUGUUGGAGGGUUUUCCGCCCUUCAGUGCUGCAGCUAACGCAUUAAGCACUCCGCCUGGGGGAGUACGACCGCAAGGUUGAAAC
rnacentral:rRNA from 1 species